GACGGAGGAUGCAAGUGUUAUCCGGAAUCACUGGGCGUAAAGCGUCUGUAGGUGGUUUAAAAAGUCUAUUGUUAAAAAUUGAAGCUUAACUUCAAAGAUGCAAUGGAAACUUUUAAACUUGAGGAUGGUAGGGGUAGAGAGAAUUUCCAGUGGAGCGGUGAAAUGUGUAGAUAUUGGAAAGACCACCGAUGGCGAAGGCACUCUACUGGGCCAUGACUGACACUGAGAGACGAAAGCUAGGGGAGCAAAUGGG
rnacentral:rRNA from 1 species